AGGGAGCUCAGUGCGGCGGCGUUCUCCUGGCUGCACAUAAUUCUGGAAGGCCGUUGACCUGUGUUUGACUUCUCUUGUUCUACUCUUGAACUGCCCAAAGGCCACUGUCACCAGAACUCAAGGCCAGGAUCUCAAAGUAACCUGGCCACACAAAGGCAUAUAACACACUACCACCUGUUCACAGACUCAUUCCACUUUAUAUUUGCUGGAAACGAUCCUAGAAGCUGAAAUACUUCCAGAGUUCAACAGUCUGGGAAAUUUAAAAGAGGGAGGAAAAAAGCCCUGCGUCCAAAGAUCUGAGGCCAGAACUCUGUUCUUUGAGGAUGGGAGGAGGUAAGAAGACCCUAUUCAAGGCUGCAGGAGAGGAAAAGAGCCCCACAAGGAAACUACCAACAGAUGACAGGAAUUGCCGCCAAAGAGCUGCAAGAAAUUGGCAGAGACUAUACUGGUUGGUGGCAAAUUCAGUUCUGGAACCCAAGACAUCUAUUUCUCAGUUCAAUGUGUGCUCUGUUUUAACACCCACGGACAUUUCCGUGAAGAGCAAAGUCCAAUUCUAGAAGACCUUUCUCAUAGUAAUCUUCCUUCUUGAGUUCUUGUAAGGGAAAUCUUGGUGAGAUAACUACCCUGGAGCAUCUCCAAAAAAUUCAUACAAACCAACAGGAGAGGCAACUUUAUAUACCUGUGAAGAUCAAGGAACUGUAACACCAGAUCUUCACGAGAGGACCAGACAAGUAAGAACUUUCCUGCCCUGCCCUCUCCUCCUCCUCCUAGAAUUCUAACCAGAGAAAAGUGCGCAGCCGUGUUCUACAGACUGCAAGGGGCAGGGAUGUGGAAAAGAAGGGGAAUAGAGGUUUCUCUCCUAACCCAACUGUAGCUUUUUGUAGGAGGUUGAGCUGGAGAUGGGAGAAACCUGUCAAUGGUUUUUGUUGUUGUUGUUGUUUUUUUUACUGUGAUGUGAAUCCAGACACGUUAAUUACUAACCAAUGGAUAUAUUACCUGGAAGUAAC